rnacentral:rRNA from 1 species
GAAACGACUGCUAAGACUGGAUAGGAGACAAGAAGGCAUCUUCUUGUUUUUAAAAGACCUAGCAAUAGGUAUGCUUAGGGAGGAGCUUGCGUCACAUUAGUUAGUUGGUGGGGUAAAGGCCUACCAAGACUAUGAUGUGUAGCCGGGCUGAGAGGUUGAACGGCCACAUUGGGACUGAGACACGGCCCAAACUCCUACGGGGGGCAGCAGUAGGGAAUUUUCGGCAAUGGAGGAAACUCCGACCGAGCAACGCCGCGUGAACGAUGAAGUAUUUCGGUACGUAAAGUUCUUUUAUUAGGGAAGAAUAAAUGAUGGAAAAAUCAUUCUGACGGUACCUAAUGAAUAAGCCCCGGCUAACUAUGUGCCAGCAGCCGCGGUAAUACAUAGGGGGCAAGCGUUAUCCGGAAUUAUUGGGCGUAAAGGGUGCGUAGGCGGUUAAAUAAGUUUAUGGUCUAAGUGCAAUGCUCAACAUUGUGAUGCUAUAAAAACUGUUUAGCUAGAGUAAGAUAGAGGCAAGUGGAAUUCCAUGUGUAGUGGUAAAAUGCGUAAAUAUAUGGAGGAACACCAGUAGCGAAGGCGGCUUGCUGGGUCUUUACUGACGCUGAGGCACGAAAGCGUGGGGAGCAAACAGGAUUAGAUACCCUGGUAGUCCACGCCGUAAACGAUGAGUACUAAACGUUGGGUAAAACCAGUGUUGAAGUUAACACAUUAAGUACUCCGCCUGAGUAGUACGUACGCAAGUAUGAAACUUAAAGGAAUUGACGGGACUCCGCACAAGCGGUGGAUCAUGUUGUUUAAUUCGAAGGUACCCGAAAAACCUCACCAGGUCUUGACAUGCUUCUGCAAAGCUGUAGAAACACAGUGGAGGUUAUCAGUUGCACAGGUGGUGCAUGGUUGUCGUCAGCUCGUGUCGUGAGAUGUUGGGUUAAGUCCCGCAACGAGCGCAACCCUUAUUGUUAGUUACCAGCACGUAAUGGUGGGGACUUUAGCAAGACUGCCAGUGAUAAAUUGGAGGAAGGUGGGGACGACGUCAAAUCAUCAUGCCCCUUAUGACCUGGGCUACAAACGUGAUACAAUGGCUGUUGCAAAGGGUAGCUGAAGCGCAAGUUUUUGGCGAAUCUCAAAAAAACAGUCUCAGUUCGGAUUGAAGUCUGCAACUCGACUUCAUGAAGUUGGAAUCGCUAGUAAUCGCGAAUCAGCAUGUCGCGGUGAAUACGUUCGCGGGGUUUGUACACACCGCCCGUCA